UACGUAGGGGGCAAGCGUUGUCCGGAUUUAUUGGGCGUAAAGCGCGUGUAGGUGGCCAAGUAGGUCCGCUGUGAAAACUUGAGGCUCAACCUCAAGCUGUCGGUGGAAACCCCUUGGCUAGAGUCCGGAAGAGGAGAGUGGAAUUCCUGGUGUAGCGGUGAAAAUGCGCAGAUAUCAGGAAGAACACCAAUGGCGAAGGCAGCUCUCUGGGACGGUACUGACACUGAGACGCGAAAGCGUGGGGAGCGAACAGG
rnacentral:rRNA from 1 species